AAUGAAAAAAAAAAAUUACAGAAGCUUGUAGAAGGCCUGCAUGUGCUUGAGGGGCGAUCUUGUGGCGGUGGCGGAGGGUGGCGCUUGAAGAAGGUCUGCAUGUCUCCGAUCCAGUGCUUGAGGGGCGAUUUGGGUCCAGAUUGAAGCUUUGGUGGCGGCUGGGGUAAGUUUUGGUUGCGGUGGUGGGUGUUUGGUGGCGAUGAGGAGGCGGUGAGGCGGGUUUGGUGGCGGUGAAGGUUGUUUGGUGGCGGGUCAGUGGCGGUGAGGUGGUUUUGGUUGUGGUUGUGGGUGUUUGGUGGCGGAGAGGGGGGUUUUGUUUGAGGUUGUGGGUGUUUGGUGGCGGUGAGGAGGCGGUGAGGUGGGUUUGGUGGCGGGUCAGUGGCGGUGAGGUGGUUUUGGUUGUGGUUGUGGGUGUUUGGUGGCGGAGAGGCGGGUUUUGUUUGAGGUUGUGGGUGUUUG
rnacentral:lncRNA from 1 species